AGCGUGGGAAGACUCCAGAAUCCACUCUGGCUGGAAUCCGGUGGAUACAGCAGUGUUACAGAACAGUUCUCCACAGUCGCUGUCCACAUGGGUCAGUGGGACCAAGAAGCACUCUGCUAAUGUGAGACUCUGACCAGCAACAUCCAGCAAGACCCAGGCAGCGUUUUCUAUCUCCCAGCUGGAGUUUUUUUGUUUGUCUGUGACUGGAGAGUCAGAUUUUUGUUGAGGCUGGAGGAACAGCCUCACACUCGCAGAGGUUAAUACACUCUACUGAUCCCUGAUGGGAGAAUCAUCACCUCUGCCAACAAAGAAGCCUGGUGGAUGUUUGUUUGCAGUCUGAUGAUGGGACCUCAUGCUCUGCAUCUUCAAAGUUUGUCUCUUGAUUAUUAUUCAUACACAGUAAUGUGAAGUAUGCUUAUAUCUAGUAUAACGGGACCAACCUGGUGCUCUUCAUUUAUGGAGGCUGUUGAGUCUGAAUGUUGGAUGUUGUGUGUCUCGUGUUCUCUGGACUUUGUUGUCCUCAGUCUUUUUGCAGGAUCAGAAAACAAAACCAGGAUGACCAUAAAUGUUUCUUCUCCAAUUGGAUGAUGAUAAGACUGUGACACGGGAUGCCACCUUUAGUCUUGUGAUGAAGCAAAGCUCAGGAAGAAGUGUGAUUAAAUGGUACCCACAUGUGUGCUGCUGAGAAGGAUGUACAGGGGCACCUGCAGCCAAAUCCAAGCCUCCUCAGAGCAGAGCGGCCGUUUGUGCUCACAGAUGGUGACGGUGUGGAGAGACGGUGGUGUUUCCUCAGAAGAACUAGCAGAGUCACAAAGGGCACAAGUCCUUCUCACCACCUUGACUUACUGACUGAUGCUCGUCUGCACUGCACAGAGGAAAUCAACUAACCGAGGUAAAUCUCCAGUUUCUGAGUGAGGGAGAGAGGAGUCAUCAUCCAGGUAAAGUGACGUGGAUCAGUGGAUACACUUGUCUCCCCUUUAAAGGAGAUACUCUUAGAGAGAGACGAUCCGAGUCAUCAUAAAAUGUUAGUGCUUUCAAAUACACAAACAUUUUUAAAGGACAAAAUCGAACAUCCCACUUUGACUGUAAUACAAUUAAAUCUUUGCAUGUGUGUUUUCAAACUCUCAGAUGGGCAGGAUAUCACUAUUGGACUGUCUAACCUGCAGGAGCAGCACUGAAUGACCACCACACAUGAGCAUGUUCCUGCAACAUUCAGCAGCUCUGCUUUUGCUGGAGAGGAAACUACACCAGUGUACUGGGAUGUUUCAGCAACACGUGCCAGAUGCUGUUCCUUCAUGGUUUCAUCACCAGAGACAGCCCCGCCCACCUCAUGACCUCGCCAUUGAUCAUGAUGAUUAUAAUAAUGACAGCGAGCGGAACUAAAACUGUAAAAAUCCACGACCAGAAUGUUUAGAUGCUUUCUAAUUAUUAAUGAAUACUGAGAGCCUCUUUCUGUGUUUUCUCUGUUUUGUUUUGUUUUUUACCUCAUUUGUUACUAACAAAGUUCACCAAACUCACACAGUUUACAUUCUGUAUGUUUCCAUCUUUACCAGCCACACUCUUAACUGCAAUUAAGAAAAUAAUCCUUAGAAAUCGUCGUUUUUCUCUUUUGUAAUUGAUGAUAAUUCAGUGAAUAUACUGCGCCGCUUCCUUUAAUUGCGUCUCACAUUGCUUUAAGUUUUUCAGUGUCCAGUUAUUUUUUUACUGUUGUUUGAAUUCUCUGUAUGUUUGACCCUGUAGACUGUUUAAUGGACUGCUUGUCUUCCUGUUUGUAACCGAUACCUGUUUUUGA